GAAACGGGUCAAGAUUCCCGUACCGGUUGUGAAUGCGAUGGGGGGACGGAGAAGGGUAGCUCAGCGGCCUGUUGGAAUAGGUCGUUUAAGCGUGUAGGAGUGGUCUCCUGGCAAAUCCGGAGAUCUUAUCUGAGGCGUGAUGACGAGGGUCUACGGACCUGAAGUGAGUAAUCCCAAGCUUCCAGGAAAAGCCUCUAAGCUUCAGUUCACAACUGACCGUACCGCAAACCGACACAGGUGGGUAGGUAGAGAAUACCAAGGCGCUUGAGAGAACUCGGGUUAAGGAACUCGGCA
rnacentral:rRNA from 1 species